rnacentral:rRNA from 1 species
CGGGGAAUAUUGCACAAUGGAGGGAACUCUGAUGCAGCGACGCCGCGUGAGUGAUGAAGGAAGUCGUUUCGUAAAACUCUGUUCUAUGGGAAGAAAAGGACUGUACCAUAGGAGAAAGCUCCGGCUAAAUACGUGCCAGCAGCCGCGGUAAUACGUAUGGAGCGAGCGUUGUCCGGAAUUAUUGGGCGUAAAGGGUGCGCAGGCGGCUUUACAAGUUGGAUGUGAAAUAUUGUGGCUCAACCACAAACGUGCAUCCAAAACUGCAAAGCUUGAGUGAAGGAGAGGUAAGUGGAAUUCCUGGUGUAGCGGUGGAAUGCGUAGAUAUCAGGAGGAAUACCGGUGGCGAAGGCGACUUACUGGACUUAAGAUGACGCUCAGGCACGAAAGCGUGAGGAGCAAACAGG